AUCGCUUCUCGGCCUUUUGGCUAAGAUCAAGUGUAGUAUCUGUUCUUAUCAGUUUAAAAUGUGUAGUUCAGCCCUAGCCAGUUUGGCUCAGUGGAUAGAACAUUGGCCUGUGGACUGAAGGGUCCCAGGUUUGAUUCUGGCCAGGGGCACAUGCCAGGGUUUCAGGCUAGAUCC
rnacentral:snRNA from 1 species